GUCGUCAGCUCGUGUCGUGAGAUGUUCGGUUAAGUCCGCUAACGAGCGCAACCCUCGCUGUGUGUUACAAGUGUCACACGGAACUGCCGGUCAUAAACCGGAGGAAGGUGGGGAUGACGUCAAGUCAGCAUGGCCUUUAUAUCCUGGGCUACACACACGCUACAAUGGGAAGGGACAAUAGGUUGCGAAGCCGCGAGGUGGAGCCAAUCCAGCAAAACUUCCCUCAGUUCAGAUUGCAGGCUGCAACUCGCCUGCAUGAAGUUGGAGUUGCUAGUAAACGCAGGUCAGCCAUACUGCGUUGAAUACGUUCCCGGGGCUU
rnacentral:rRNA from 1 species